UACGAAGGGGGCUAGCGUUGCUCGGAAUCACUAGGCGUAAAGCGCACGUAGGCGGGUUGUUAAGUCGGGGGUGAAAUCCUGGAGCUCAACUCCAGAACUGCCUUUGAUACUGAGAGCUUGAGUCCGGGAGAGGUGAGUGGAACUGCGAGUGUAGAGGUGAAAUUCGUAGAUAUUCGCAAGAACACCAGUGGCGAAGGCGGCUCACUGGCCCGGUACUGACGCUGAGGUGCGAAAGCGUGGGGAGCAACAGGG
rnacentral:rRNA from 1 species